UUGAACGCUGGCGGUAUGCUUAACACAUGCAAGUCGAACGGAAACGAUACUAGCUUGCUAGUAGGCGUCGAGUGGCGGACGGGUGAGUAACGCGUAGGAAUCUGCCUGAUAGUGGGGGAUAGCCCGAAGAAAUUCGGAUUAAUACCGCAUAAUCUAUUCGUAGUAAAGUGGGGGACUUUCGAGCCUCACGCUAUCAGAUGAGCCUGCGUAAGAUUAGCUUGUUGGUAGGGUAAAAGCCUACCAAGGCGACGAUCUUUAGCUGGUCUGAGAGGAUGAUCAGCCACAUCGGGACUGAGACACGGCCCGAACUCCUACGGGAGGCAGCAGUGGGGAAUAUUGGACAAUGGGGGCAACCCUGAUCCAGCAAUACCGCGUGUGUGAAGAAGGCCUGAGGGUUGUAAAGCACUUUCAAUUGUGAAGAAAAGUUAGCGGUUAAUAACCGUUAGCCUUGACGUUAACUUUAGAAGAAGCACCGGCUAACUCCGUGCCAGCAGCCGCGGUAAUACGGAGGGUGCAAGCGUUAAUCGGAAUUACUGGGCGUAAAGCGUGCGUAGGCGGUUUAUUAAGUCAGAUGUGAAAGCCCCGGGCUUAACCUGGGAACUGCAUUUGAAACUGGUCAACUAGAGUAUGGUAGAGGAAAGUGGAAUUUCUGGUGUAGCGAUGAAAUGCGUAGAUAUCAGAAGGAACAUCAAUGGCGAAGGCAGCUUUCUGGACCAAUACUGACGCUGAGGUACGAAAGCGUGGGUAGCAAACAGGAUUAGAUACCCUGGUAGUCCACGCCGUAAACGAUGAUAACUAGCCGUUGGGGGGAUUUACCCUUUAGUGGCGAAGCUAACGCGUUAAGUUAUCCGCCUGGGGAGUACGGCCGCAAGGUUAAAACUCAAAGGAAUUGACGGGGACCCGCACAAGCGGUGGAGCAUGUGGUUUAAUUCGAUGCAACGCGAAGAACCUUACCUGGUCUUGACAUCCUGCGAACUUUCUAGAAAUAGAUUGGUGCCUUCGGGAACGCAGUGACAGGUGCUGCAUGGCUGUCGUCAGCUCGUGUCGUGAGAUGUUGGGUUAAGUCCCGUAACGAGCGCAACCCCUAUCCUUAUUUGCCAGCACAUCAUGGUGGGAACUAUAAGGAGACUGCCGGUGAUAAACCGGAGGAAGGCGGGGACGACGUCAAGUCAUCAUGGCCCUUACGACCAGGGCUACACACGUGCUACAAUGGGAAGGACAAAGAGCCGCGAAGCCGCGAGGUGUAGCUAAUCUCAUAAACCUUUUCGUAGUCCGGAUUGGAGUCUGCAACUCGACUCCAUGAAGUCGGAAUCGCUAGUAAUCGUAGAUCAGAAUGCUACGGUGAAUACGUUCCCGGGUCUUGUACUCACCGCCCG
rnacentral:rRNA from 1 species